GACGAACGCUGGCGGCGUGCUUAACACAUGCAAGUCGAACGGAAAGGCCCUGCUUUUGUGGGGUGCUCGAGUGGCGAACGGGUGAGUAACACGUGAGUAACCUGCCCUUGACUUUGGGAUAACUUCAGGAAACUUGGGCUAAUACCGGAUAGGAGCUCCUGCUGCAUGGUGGGGGUUGGAAAGUUUCGGCGGUUGGGGAUGGACUCGCGGCUUAUCAGCUUGUUGGUGGGGUAGUGGCUUACCAAGGCUUUGACGGGUAGCCGGCCUGAGAGGGUGACCGGACCCAUUGGGACUGAGCUACGGCCCAGACUACUCCGGGAGGCAGCAGUGGGGAAUAUUGCACAAUGGGCGGAAGCAUGAUGCAGCAAAGCCGCGUGCGGGAUGACGGCCUUCGGGUUGUAAACCGCUUCCGCCUGUGACGAAGCGUGAGUGACGGUAAUGGGUAAAGAAGCACCGGCUAACUACGUG
rnacentral:rRNA from 1 species